UAUAAAUAGGGACCUCUUGUAUUGUAUUUAUCAUCGAAUAUCAAUAACAUAUUUUCUCCCGUGCCUUCUCACAUUAGGCAUGUGGCCGUUUUAGGCCGUGCACAGCACGGACACAUGCCAUCUAGUAUUAUUUUAACUAUGUGAAAGUCCCUUGGACGACCAAGGGUACUUGUUCGGUAAUACAUAUACUUUUAGGGAUAACUUAGUAAUCCUAGCCUCAUUAAAGUUCUACCCGGAGACUUCGAGGUGUUCAAUUUGAAGCACUGCGUGGGUUUAGGGUUUCCCCCACCCUUUUGCCUUUUUCUCUCCAUAUCAAAAGCAACAUUCUCAGUUUUUAAUCUCUCUUUCUAUCGCUUUAAUGUAUCUCUUCCUGGUGAGUUCCUUUUCUUACUCCACUUAAUUUUUUGCUCAGUUUUUGGUUUAGUAGUUUAAUUUCUCUUUAAUUUUAUCUUUUACCUUUUGGGUCUUUUGAAGAUGAACACCAUUUCUAAUUUUGUAAUGUUAUAAAUAAAUGGACACCUUCUUCGCGUUUUUCUCUGUUUUAUCAGCAAUGCAUGCGUUUGUUCCUGCUUUACAAUAAAAUUUUGACAUCUUAAACUUUUGAGUAGGUACGGAAUAUUUGCAUACUUGAUUCCAAAGACGCUACAUUCUUUUAAUUUUUCUGUUUUCUCGCCCCAUCUUGGAUAUGCAUGUCAUGAUUUGUCACAUAUGUUGUAGCUUGAUAUUGUGUAGUAGUUCCGUCUAUUCGAGAAAUCAGAGAGUUAUAGGCACAACCUAUGUUGUCUGGCCCUUCUCUUGUGUCUCAAUGGUGUGUGUUGGUGUUUACAAAUGGGUUUCCACCACUCAGCUCGAUGAACUAGCCGCCAAAACUUUCACUGUCUUGACUACUAAUCAUUGGUUAUGAGUUGGUAGAGUUAUUCUUGAAAAUCUAAGGAUAAGACAAUGCACCUAACAUAUGCUAGCAUAAUUUAUGAAGACAAAUUCUGAAGGAGAGAGUACAAGAGGAUGUCUCUCGGAGAUCUUGUAGCGGAAAUUAGGAGUAAAAAUAAUUGGAAGAGAUGGAUCCAAAACUUUAGAUAUAUCGGAGUUCCUGGAAUUUUGUUGUUCUGGUCUUCCAAGGAAUAUAUGUAUUCCAUCUCAAUUGAAGUUGCUCAUGUUACUUUUCUGGUUAUGCUACCAAGAAAAAGGGAAAACAUCCUGUAAGGUUGUUAUGAGUAUGAAGAAAUGGAAAGGUUUUGGUAUUUCUGUCGAAUGCUACUGCAAAAGAAGGCUUAUAACUACAAAGGUUUGUGGACUUAUGGACUUUCAAAGAAACCAUCUUCUUUUGUCCAAAUGUGUAAAUAGGUUCUCAUGUAAACAAGCUGAAUAAUGUACUUACGGAAGCGAGCUCAACAAUGUACUAUGUUACAAGUACAUAUAAUCCUUUGGUAUCUUGUACAUCUUUAUUCCUCAGUGGAUACUUAUUGUAUGAAGCAUUAAUAUGUUCUGAAUAUUUAAUUAAUUUGUUAAUAUUACUUACUUUAUUAGCAA